rnacentral:rRNA from 1 species
UACAGAGGGUGCUAGCGUUGUUCGGAAUCAUUGGGCGUAAAGGGCGUGUAGGCGGUUUGUUAAGUCAUGUGUGAAAUCCCUCGGCUCAACCGGGGAACGACGCAUGAAACUGGCAAGCUAGAGUACCAAAGAGGGGGGUGGAAUUCCCGGUGUAGCGGUGAAAUGCGUAGAUAUCAGGAGGAACACCUGCGGUGUAGACGGCUUACUGGACCAUAACUGACGCUGAGGCACGAAAGCGUGGGUAGCAAACAGG